rnacentral:lncRNA from 1 species
AGCUUAUCCACGCUCUGCGAUCUCGUGUCUGUUUCUCUCUCUCUCUCUCUCUCUCUCUCUCUCUCUCUCUCUCUCUCAUCAUUUUAACCAUUGUACCAGCUCCUUUUAAAUGUAUCUGCGGAGGAUCUGGUCAAGUGGAGAUAAUCCAUGCAAAUCAGAAACUGGUUGUCAGUGUGUGGUUCCCGGAGAGGACUCAGCCUGAGGAGGUCACUCGUUCACAGCCGCUCCUCCCAUUCUAUCUCUCCCCUUAUUGCAGAACUGCUGUAUGUAUACAGUAGCAGAAAGGACUCAAUUGACUUCAACUGCUGCCUGGUUUUGCUUACAACUUUUUCUUAUAAAGGAACUUACCUCCAUCUGUCUCUUGAAGCAUUGUGCAUCAAGUGCACACUGUCACCUCUACCUGCAUAUCUAACAAGUAUCUCAAAUCUGACAUGCCCAAGAGAAGGUGUUUACAUUACCUGCACGAAGCCACUCGCCCCUCAACUGGUUUUCCACACCCACUGAGAGAAAGAAGCACCUACUUUCCAAAACCAAAACCAUGCCAGCAAUCCUCAUUUGCUUCCCAUCGAUGUCUGCACACCUGAUCUACUCCCAAGACUUCACAGCUCUGCCUGUACAUUUUAUCUAGAAUCUAUCUGUCUUCACAGUCUCUCCACCUAUUGGAAGAUACAAUAGUCCAUGUGCCACACAACAGCCAUCAAGUGUGACUGUCUGGUAAAUAAUUUUAAUGUAAUUGCAUUGUACUACUUAAAACUCUCAAAUGCUAUCUAAUUUCAAUAAAAGCUGGGCACGUGACAAGCUACCAAGACUAUAUAUGACCUACUCUUUAGCUGGCUCUCCACAAACUACGACCUAGGAAAACCUUCCAUUUUGUGCUACAACCUUCACUCAGCCUAGACAUUAGCUAGUCUUUGGACAAACUAAUCACAGCCUUUGAACUUCAAGUUUCUUUACUUGGAACUCUCUGUCCCCCUCCCUUAUCUUGCCUGUCUUCUUUUCUGUCAUCCAUUCCUAGGUUUUGUGGUUGCUCAGCCAAAAAGCUCAUUCCCAACCGUGUAUGAUGGGGCACCUGCUCAUUUGACUCAUGUUUGGUGAUUUUAUUUGCUUUGUUGGUUGGUUGGUUGGUUGGUUUGGUUUUGGAGGCAGGGUUUCUCUAUGUAGCUAUGGCUGUUCUGGGCUUGCUUUGUAGACCAGGCUGGCCCUCUGCUGUGAUUAAAGGUGUGUGCCACCACACCCACUGGUGAAUUUAUUUAUUUUCUGUGUUGUUCUAACCAGGGUUUGGUAAAUAUGCUAUUUAAGAGAAAUAAAUAUUGCAAAAGAGCAA